rnacentral:rRNA from 1 species
GGGGAAUUUUCCGCAAUGGGCGAAAGCCUGACGGAGCAAUACCGCGUGAGGGAGGAAGGCUCUUGGGUUGUAAACCUCUUUUCUGAAGGAAGAAGUUCUGACGGUACUUCAGGAAGAAGCAUCGGCUAACUCCGUGCCAGCAGCCGCGGUAAUACGGAGGAUGCAAGCGUUAUCCGGAAUCAUUGGGCGUAAAGGGUCCGCAGGUGGUCAAGCAAGUCUGCUGUUAAAGAAUGAGGCUUAACCUCAUCUGGGCAGUGGAAACUGCUAAGACUAGAGUACGGUAGGGGUAGAGGGAAUUCCCAGUGUAGCGGUGAAAUGCGUAGAGAUUGGGAAGAACACCAGUGGCGAAAGCGCUCUACUGGGCCUGUACUGACACUGAGGGACGAAAGCUAGGGGAGCGAAAGGGAUUAGAUACCCCUGUAGUC